AUACUUACCUGGCAGGGGAGAUACCAUGAUCAUGAAGAUGGUUAACCCAGAGCGAGGCUCUACCAUUGCACCCUGGCUGUUCUGACCUUUGCGAAUUUCCCAAAUGUGGGAAUCUCAACUGCAUAAUUUGUGUUACUGGGGGACUGCGUUCGCGCUUUCUCCUG